rnacentral:lncRNA from 1 species
AAAGGUGUGAGCUUUUUAUGGGUUCAAGGACGUUUUUGCAAGGAGGAAAAAUGGGUUUGGAAGGUUGUAAGGUGUGAAAAUGGUGAAGAAAGGGGUUAUGCCCCGACCUUUUACAGACGCUGUGGCGGGCGCCACAAGGCAAAAUCUGGCUGGGCCGAAUUUUGGUCCUUUGGCUUGGGCUUCUCUUUGUCUUUUGGCUUUGAGGGGUCCGAAUAGCAUUUGUCUUGUGAUUUUCCUAGUAUCAUUGACUUGCAUAAUUU